UACGUAGGCAGCGAGCGUUGUUCGGAAUUACUGGGCGUAAAGAGUGUGUAGGCGGUGCUCUAAGUUCGGUGUGAAAUCUCCUGGCUCAACUGGGAGGGUGCGCCGGAAACUGGAGUGCUUGAGCGUGGGAGAGGAAAGCGGAAUUCCUGGUGUAGCGGUGAAAUGCGUAGAUAUCAGGAGGAACACCUGUGGUGUAGACGCUUUUCUGGACCAUAGCUGACGCUGAGACACGAAACGUGGGUAGCAAACAGG
rnacentral:rRNA from 1 species